ACCAACGGCCGCCGGGAUCCGAGCAACGGCUCCAACGGCCGCCGGGGCGCGGCGUCCCGCCACGGCCGCCGCCCGCCUGUUUUGGAGCCUGCAGCUCUUCAGAAAAGCUGGGUCCCCAUCCCGGUGGUGGGGAGAGGGCAUCUCUGGGUUCUCUGUCACGACAGUAGGGCGGUGGCACUGAGCACGGCCGCAGCUGCCUUCCCACCAAAAAAGCACGCAGAUCCGAGGUGCAGGGUGACCAACAAGGCUGCAGAGUGUCUCCUCCUCCUUCCAAACACUGGGAAACUUGACAGGAGAAAUCAAAUGUGUGUGACUUCUUGUAUCAAGACAGAAGUCUUACCCCAUGUACAAACCUUACCAGUUGCCAAAUGUUGGGAAAGUUUCUGACUUCAAGAACUGUUAUGAAAAGCCCACAGUUUCUGAAUUCUGACUGCAUCUCCAUCCAGCAUGACAGCAUCCAAGCCACAGUUUGCUCGCUGCAUCUCCUUCCACUGCUACAGUAAAA